UAUGGAUUUUUUUCUUGGCCACGAAAUCGCGGCGACCGUGUCGUAUAAAUCAGGAUUGAUUUUCAAAGGGAAUCAUGGGAGGUCGAGCCGCAGCCGCGAUGUCCCUUUUAGCUCCGCAUUUGUUUCCGGCGGUAAAUCUAUAUUUGGCUAAUCGAACCGACGCUACUGCACACCGCGCCGUUUCCGCUGCUUUUUCGGAAGCCGCGACCAAAAGAUCGCCGUUUCGACUUUUCACGCUUUCUGCCUUCCGUUAGUCAACAAACUUUUUCAACGUUACGUCGUUGAAUGCCCGAGAUUAUUCUUUAUGUGUAAUCCCGAGGAACGUGUAAUCCCCAUGGAAUCGGUAACUGAGCCGCUCUUACGGUCGAUGCACAAACUAGAUCGACGAUACUUAAACGGUAAAGCGUCCUAAUCCUCGUGAAACGCGCAGAGGCUAAUGAUCACAUGCAGCCUGCAGUGUACAUCGCAAUAAACUGGAUAUGGACAAGUAAUGCCUUCAUUGACAGCUUUUCGCUAAACGUUUCUAGCAGUUCUUUAAGGAGAUAGCCGUGAAGUAGGGAAACUGUGACCUGACAGGGCUCUCACCCUUCGCCAAACGAGUCCACCGCGUAUCAGCUUUCUCCGCGCCGCUAUAUUCGCAACACCAUAUACGUGGCCAUAGUAAAUCUUGGAUCUGACGUUUCGUAGAUGACACGCUCACGGUUUUCUUUUCGCCCCUUAAGAAGAGCGAAGAGCGGAGGUCCGUGAAACGUUGCGUGGCGCGUUAUUAAGGUCAGCCACCUGCCGCUCGAUGGAGCUCGCUUCAGGGAUGAACACUAUUAUACCCCUCUGUGCUAUAGGUAUACGUAACGGUGAACGUAAAGCAAAGGAAGAAAAGAAAAAAAAAAAAAAAGAAAAGAAAAAAGGGGAAAGAAAGGGAGGAAAAAAAUUGGAAGAAAGGAAAGAGGAGAAAGACGAAGAGUAAGUGGAAGAGGGAUGCAGCGACGGUGUGGGGUGAACAAAGAAAAUAAGAGAUGCGAAACGACGACGACGCCGCGGCGGAGAUGGUACAGGAAGAGGCGAAGAUGAAGCGAGACGGAACGACGACGAGGAAGAGGAGAAGAAAGGCGGCCGGCCUCGGGACCGACGGAGAUGCGAGAGUCCCGGGACUCCUGCAGCCAGAGAAGAGAAUAAAGGAAAAGCGAGAAAAAUGUGUCUAACGUGGCAGAGGCAAUUCUUCAGCCAGAGUUGCCGCCUUAAUGCUCGUUGGAGAAAGGCGAUUGGUUCUCGAGAAGAGCCCGUGGGAAAGAUGGCCGCCAUUUCCCUCCAACCACCCGUGCAAGUGUCCCCCCUCCUCCACCUACUCAUCUGCUCUCUGUUCCUCUUCCGUUGUCCGUGGCGGUGACCUACGGAAAGAAACCCCGUUCGUGGAAUAAAGGGGGAGAAACACGCUCCAAGACUCUUAUUCUUAUUAACUGUUUAAUCUUUCCACGUGACGUACGGCAGGCAUUAAGCGGCGCGCGGAUCUUGUUUAUAUUUCGUUGGAGCGCCACGAGGAUGCCGCAUCUUCGUUACACUGAAUCCAAGCAAAAGGUGUAGUCCCGGUCCGACGCCCCCCCGGUGUCCUCGCCCCCUGCGACUUUUUACUCGCCGGCCCUGGAUAGUUACGGUUGUAAUAAAACUCUCGGGGAAUUUCUAAGAACCAGUUACUUAUGGUUAAGGAAAAAAGAGAAAUCAAAGGUAUAGGGAUAAAAGAUUGUUAUACUUUAAUUUUGAUAGUCGAACGAAUUACUUGCUUUGCAUCGGAAUCCUAUUAAAAGACAUUUUUAUUGCGCGCCUUUGAGUGGGAAAAUCUUUCAGGAUAAACGUACAAAGGAUUACUCUGGAGGUAUUUUUGAGCUACCUCGAGAUACUUCUGGUCAAAGAAUAGGAACAAAAUAGUUGGAUUAGUUCGAUUUAAACAAAUUGUAGGUGUGUUUAGUAAAAUAUUAUAAGAAGCUUUUAUUGCACACGUUUGAGCGGGAAAAUCUUUCUGAAUAAACGUACAAACGAUUACUGUGGAGGUAUUUUUGAGCUACCUCGAGAUACUUCUGGUCAAAGAAUAGAAACAAAAUAGUUGGAUUAGUUCGAUUCGAACAGACUGUAGGUGUGUUUAGUAAAAUAUUAAAAGACAUUUUUAUUGCACACGUUUGGCUGGAAAACUCUUUCAGUAGAAAUAAUUACCGUGGAGGUAUUUUUGAGCUACCUUUAGAUACUUCUGGUCAAAGAAUAGAAACAAAAUAGUUGGAUUAGUUCGAUUCGAACAGACUGUAGGUGUGUUUAGUAAAAUAUUAAAAGAAAUUUUUAUUGCACAUGUUUGAAUGGGAAAAUCUUUCAGGAUAAACGUAGAAAUAAUUACCGUGGAGGUAUUUUUGAGCUACCUUUAGAUACUUCUGGUCAAAGAAUAGAAACAAGAUAGUUGGAUUAGUUCGAUUCGAACAAAUUGUAGGUGUGUUUAGUAAAAUAUUAAAAGAAAUUUUUAUUGCACACCUUUGAGUGGGAAAAUCUUUCAGGAUAAACGUAGAAAUAAUUACCGUGGAGGUAGCAUUUUUGAGCUACCUUUAGAUACUUCUGGUCAAAGAAUAAAAACAAAAUAGUUGGAUUAGUUCGAUUCGAACAAAUUGUAGGUAUGUUCAGUAAAAUAUUAAAAGAAAUUUUUAUUGCACACGUUUGGCUGGAAAACUUUUUCAGUAGAAAUAAUUACCGUGGAGGUAUUUUUGAGCUACCUUUAGAUACUUCUGGUCAAAGAAUAAAAACAAAAUAGUUGGAUUAGUUCGAUUCGCACAAAUUGUAUGCAUGUUUAGUAAAAUAUUAUAAGAAGCUUUUAUUGCACACGUUUGAGCGGGAAAAUAUUUCUGAAUAAACGUACAAACGAUUACUGUGGAGGUAUUUUUGAGCUAUCUCGAGAUACUUCUGGUCAAAGAAUGGAAACAAAAUAGUUGGAUUAGUUCGAUUAGAACAGAUUGUAGGCGUGUUUAGUAAAAUAUUAAAAGAAAUUUUUAUUGCACAUGUUUGAAUGGGAAAAUCUUUCAGGAUAAACGUAGAAAUAAUUACCGUGGAGGUAGCAUUUUUGAGCUACCUUUAGAUACUUUUGGUCAAAGAAUAGAAACAAGAUAGUUGGAUUGGUUCGAUUAGAACAGAUUAUAUGCAUGUUUAAUAAAAUAUUAAAAGAAAAGGAAAUAGAUAGGGGAGGGGAAAACUCUUCGAAGAUAGAUACGUAGAGAUCGUAGAGGAUGUAAAAGUAAAAGGUUCGAUAUGGAUACGGUUGGAUGGUGUCUGGACGGUGGUGGAAAAGAGUGACAAGACUAGGGGAGACGGUAGACGAGGGCGCAGCGAAGAUAGCGCUGAGUUACAUCUCUCAAUUAUUUGAUAAUGCCGGCGACACCGAGCCGAGGGGAGCUCGUUAGAACUUAAAAUGAGCUCUGGCCGUAAUCUUCUCAAUGUUUAUAGUUGCUUCGUAAAUCUCCGCGAAUCUCGGAGCGAGCAUCGCCGUAGCAACGUCGGCCAGGAACAAUAGAUGAUACAAAGUUCCCGAAGAGUGGCUCUCUUGGACCUCGUUUAAAAUUUUUAUGCCGCAGGCCAGGGCUUCGUCUCUCUCCUCUUCUUUCUAUGCUCGCUUUGCCUUUCUGUGAAAACUAUCCCGCGACUGUCUGACAGAGAGAGAGAGAGAGAGAGAGAGAGAGAGAGAGAGAGAGAGAGAAAGAAAGAGGAAACGGGAAAACGGCGUUCUCUAACUGCAUCUUAAUUAUCCUUCUUUUCUCUCUCGCAACGCCGGAUAAACGAAAGCCGGCAACGCGCUCACGAAUAUAUACGGCCGCCAUUAGCGGACAAGGGCCGAGAGAAUUCGUGUUUAUCGCUCUAUUAGAGGCUGCAGAGUGCGGUGGGUUUCGCGAUAAAUCCACUUUGACGCGGAUCGGCUCGUUACGAUCGCCUCUAACUCAACGCCUUUAUACUUUCCUCGCGCGUCCUCGCUAUCGGCUCGUAAAAUCCAGCGAAUCCGCGAACCUACGUCGAGACUUAGGUUUCGCAGCGUAAAAGCACGCGUAAAUUAUCUCGGUGCCGCGUGUACGUGAAAUCGAAUCGUCUCGAAGCAGUCGAUAGGAACUGGGAUCGCGACUAGGAUCGAACGAACGGCUCUAUCAACGAUGGUCGGGAUGAUCGUCGCCUCGAUUCUCAGCGAUCGUCGUGCUUCCAGUCGUUCGUAGCUCGUAAAUACAGCGGCGAUACCCUCCGUCGAGAGAACGAGAUCGGCAAGAAAGAAUUCGGCUUCUAACGGCGAAACAACGAGCCUGUCGUACAAACCUGUCCGUCCUCCCCGUCGUACGUUCUCUCGCGCGUUCUCUCGCACGACAGGGAAACAGAGACACGGAGCGAGAGCGAGAGAGGAGAGAGAAAGGGGAUGUAUCAGAAGCUCGGAGAAGAAGAGGGGAGGUUUUAGGUAAGAGAUAGGAUUAGUUGUUAACCGAGAGAAGGUACGGAGAGGUCAGAGGCUGGGUAUAUCUAGAUUAAGACGCGUUGGAGAAAGAGCAGGCAAGGUAGACAAAGGGGACAGGAUGGACAAAGGGUAGAGAGCGGAGAAAGGGAGGUCUCGGUCCCCUUUCGAGGUAAAGUGACGAACGACAUCACGGGACCUUGAAUGUCUUUUGCUUGUCCAUGGGUCUCGAUGAUCUUGCCGCUGUCGAGAAACGGGGUGGGGGUAGAAAGGAACAGGGACGAGUCAGAGGACAGAAAAGCAAAGGAGAGAAAGAAGGUAGAGUAUCGCGUGACGUACGAGCACAGGGACCACCCCUGGUGAUCAAAUCCCGCAUCUUCCACACGGUUUCACACAAAAAUCAUAUUUAUCUGCUCGCCUACCUGCGGCCAACGGCGCGUCGCUUUGUUCCACCUUUGCACAGGGGAAACGGACAGGAUCUCCUUCUUCUCUUUUAAUCUUAGACUAGCGGCCGUUAAGGCCGGACAGAGUAAUUGCCUCGCAAGCCCCGAGUUAUUGCAACGUAGAAACUCGCUCUCCGUUUAAAUCUCCUCGCUCGGCAUAUGAAUGUAUAACGAUCUCCAGCUACUGAUACAAAUUGCAUCGAGCGACGAUGUAACGUGGGAAUCCGCGCUUCUUCGAGUCUUCGACGAUCCAGGAAUCUUCGGUAUUUUAACCAGCUUUCCCUCCAUCUGCCUACUAACUGCGAUUUCUUUCGAACGAACAAACUUGUCUAUCGUCGGCGAUAUGAUCGAUGGCGGCGUUUUCCAAUCGGCCAAGUUUCAUUUUCUUGUCGAAAAUUAUCGUUCCUAUCCGGGAACUCGCUUAUCGUUUCCGUGGCAAUAGACGAAGGAAAUUCUGCGCGCGACGUAGCAGCCAGUUACCACGAGGGUAGCAGUUUAUCGCACGAAACGAGGAAACGAAGAAAAAUAAAGACAUCCAGCCUAUUACGAGCAACUCCUGAAACAAUAAUCGAUUGUUAUUGACACCCUAGCGGGCUGCAGAUCGAUAGAAAGUGCGGCUGGUACCCCCGACAACCACGAAACGUCGGUUACGUCACCGUUACUCCUUUUUAUUUACAAGUUUUCCUCCCUGCUCGGAUCUGGUAAUGGCGAUAGAUGUGUUGCGGGCGGAGGAGGGUCGAAAUAGACACGGGGGUGCCGCUAGACCGGGGCCGAUUCCUGCACGAGGGAAGACCGCCAUUCCCAUAACUCAAAUCCGACUCAAUUUCCCGGCAAGAAAGUUUGCUCGCCGUACGAAGCUCCGACGGUGCCACCAUCGGUCCUCGAUCGGUUUAUUAACCCACAUCUUUAUCGCCGAUUAUUGCCAUAGCCUGACUAUUCCUGGUACGCGUGAUCGCCACAGAAAUCUCCGCGUUCUUGCUCUUAGUUCCAAUUUAGUUAGUUUCGAUUAGUUUCGGGUUUACAAUUUAGCUCUGGUAGAGUAGUUUUUAAUAACAGUGGUUCUUUACGUUCCAAAUACUGCGGUUUCUUUAGACUUUCGGAUUGUUGGAAUGUAGUGGUUGAACUUGAGAUGCGGAAAUGGUGGCGAGAUAAUAUUAAGCGAACCCUUGGAAUUUCUUUCCAUAGCAACGAUGUUGGGAGGACAGCAUUCAAAUGCAUAUUGUAAAUGAAGUACGACGUUGGAUCUUAGCGUUAUACAAUGGUUAAGUGAUCAAGAAAAAAAAUAAAAUUGUUGAUUACAGUUCCCUGCGAUAGUAAUUGCUGCGAGUAAAUCUUUUACGUCGGAAUAAUCGUACAACAAUGAAAUACGACAACACAACGAUGAUAUGAUAAAUAGCGAGAGGAAAUAACAUUUAGAAAACAUAGAUGCGUAACUGCUCGACUGUGCCGUAUUGAGAAAUACAAUUUUGUUGAGGUAAUUUCAUACGGUUAAAUGUGGAAAAUAAUCUAGAAAAUAUCCUCGCCAUUGAACGAGAAAGAAGCGGAUCUUUCAAUUCUCUGCGACGUAAAAUUAUUCGAAGCGGGGUUCGAAUUGAAAUUCACCGAUGGGUCACGAGAUUCUCCACCCUUCGUGAAAAAUCAAAUCCGAAGGAAUUCCAGAAUGUUGACUUGGAACAGGGCAUAUUGCGCGGCAAUUAGCGGCGAGGGGAAAUGAGAAAUGCUAGCAAUGCUCGUGGCGCAUUAAGAGGGCUGUACGGAACGGCGUUCUAAUGAAUUAAGGGAAAUCAGAAAUUGCUUUAAAUAGCACCGUAAAAAUAAAGUUUAUUUAAAGAAGGGGAGGACGUCGAGGGGCGGAGAAAUCGGCGAGGGAAGAGGGUGUGGUGAAAAGAAAAAGAUAGAAGGAACGGCUGGAAGCUGUUCUAGUCAGAAGGGGUGCUAAGUCGGCGGCGGAACAUGUAGCACGGAAAUUGCCGAGAAACGCGUAUUAAAAUUGCUGGAUUUAGUAGGAAGAUAAGCCGCGACGGAGGAGAAGAACUCUCCUUUGCUCGUGCACCGUCGCAUUACCGUUGCCUCUUCGUCGUCGUUGUCCAAAGCUUGGAGAGGUUGAACCGCCUUGUCAUCCUCCGCCGUCGCACACGAUGACACUGGCGACUCUUCGUGGUUUCGACCUUUCGACACGCGCACCCUUCCGUUUGUCGUUUCCUCUUUCUUCCAUCUCUUCGUUCGAAGGCUCGGUUUCCUAUUUCUACGAUCGAAGACAGCGGAAAUAUGACGAGUCGAUGUUCGUCGAUUUUCUCAUCUCUGUAUCGUUAGACGUCUGAAAAGAAGAAUUUCGUGUGCAUUAACCUGAUAGAUUUUAAGACGCAAGCAUUUUGAAAACAGAGAACGAGUACGUGAUGUUUUGUAAGAAACGAAUGACGUUAGUUUAAUUGUAUUAUUUUAAUCUAGCAUGCGUAACUAACGUCGUUGAUAUGUUUCAGUGUUUUAGAAGAUAGAAAACGUUUAGAAAAAUGGUAGAUUCUUCGCGUGAAUUCGAUUGCCGUCACGCUUUUUACGUUUUUCUCCUGUAAAUGCCAGGAAAUCUGACUUAUCGUGUUUUUUAUCUGUAGCCUUGAAUAAUUGCCUCGAUACCUAUAGUUCCCAGUGUAAUCUGAGACAUAUACAUGGAAAACCUAGAAAAUAGCGCUUAAUAUUAUUUUCAAACACAGAAAAUAGUGGCGAUAUCGUUCUAAAACGUAAAUGAUAUCGUCCACGUUAUUCCGCAACACCGAAGUAAGGAAGGAAACGCUAGUGAAAAUGAACCCAUUUCCCCACGAGUCCUUUACCCUUUAUUAUACAAGAUGUCAGUCAAUUAUUUUCUAUAUAACGGUGUUAGAAACACUUCUCAUGGAUAAAGACGGUGAACAAAGCCCAUGGGACGAACUACUCAAGGUUUCACAUACAUUGUCUUUGCGUGAACCUGCGAUAAAAAUAGACGCGUAGCUUGCUAGACAAAUUCAAGUAUCUGUCGCUUGUGUAACUAUUAUUUCUGUAGCGCCAGUCUAUUUCGUUGGAAAUGCUCGUAGUUCGUAGACGGUGCUUGGUAGAUCGAUAGUUCGAGGAGCAUUAAAGCUGUGCUCUUCACCGGCCCCUGCCGCAUAUGUAACACCGCAAGCUGUUGUGCCAGCGAGGUAAACGUUUCUAGAGCCCUUCAUCGGAAUUCUGCUAUUUGCUCGUCGAACGAAAGUUACAGCUUGGCUUAUGGUUUUCUAAUUACCUUCCAAGUGCAUAAAUACACCGCUAAAAGGCUGCGAUAACUGCGUCAAUAGGCAAGAAAUCCCGAUACUCGUCUGUUCCGUCCUAUUAUUCCUUGUGAAACAUCGAAGCGAUCGAGAAGUACUUCGGCUACCGAUUCGUCGAACGACCCAGUCGAUCUCUGAAAAAGGUAAUAAACGAAGAUUAAAAAGAAAACAGGUGGUCCGAAAUUCGGCGUCGAAAAUGACGAAAACUGGUUGGCCGGACUCGCUGGCUUUCUUUUGGCCGAUUCAGGCUACACGUAUCUUCCUCGGUCGUUAUAUUGUUUUCCCGUCUUCGAAUCAACAAGGAGACGGUCGGUGCGGUGCUGUGUAGCUAUAUGUACGUCGUAUAGCCUCAUCGGAGGCAAUAAUCCAGCGGGGGAAUCCCCCUUACACCGCCGUGCCCACUCAAACGGUCGUAGACCGCGCUUUUAUGUGGUCGUAAAAGCGCAGUAACAAUUAAUAAGUAUCUCGUAAAAGCGAUUGUCGUUGACACCUUUUUGAAUGACAGGGGCGGGAAAGAAGAAGCGAGGAGCAAACAGAGAAUGAGUGUAUGUGAAAGAGAAAGUAAGUAAGAGAGAGAGAAAAGCGACUACCGAAAGAUCGAAAAAGAGAAGAAGAGCAAAGACUCUGUCGACGAGACUCUCUCUUCUCUUGUGUGUACAGGUGGACGGCGUAAAAUAGGUGGCUUCGUGAUUGGCUAUAAAUUUCACUUACGUUGAAGUGGUUGCUUUUAAUCAGGCAGUUAUGCGCACUGCCGUACCAGCUACCUAUCGGACAUCUGACGUUUUAAUGUCCCGUGUCUCAUAGCCAGCUUGCCGACGCUGAGGCGUUCCACGAUCUGCGAAACCACGCGGCCGAAUAAACGCGUUUUACGAUUUCGUCUGUCGCCUCCUCCGGUCAACCGAGACCGAGCGUGCGGCUCUCUGUCCAUCCCCGCUUUGAUUUCGGUCGAUGAUAGGCUUGGUCCGUGGUAUAAUACAACUGGAGUCGUACGGAUCUUCCUCCGGUCGGAUUUUUAGGUGAAGUCAUCCACGCUUGUCGAGAAGGUCGUUCGUGUGGAUCGUUAUCGAGCGAUUCGAUCGAGCCUUUUCGUGGCUGAUUUAUCGCGCCUCGCAAUUCCUCCGCCUCUAAAUGAUUGUAAACUCUGUUUCCAAGCCGUGGACGUCGCUACUUGUAAUAUACGACGCUGUUACACCCACGGUAAAUUUUUUUCUAAAUUGGAUGCGCUGUUCUAGGAAAUUUUUUAUGGGAAAGCAGGAUGGUGAAUUAUUGGCGGGUCGAUUCAGAUAGAUUUUAAAUACGUCGUGACACGACGAACGGCUAAUUUCGUUCCGUUAAUCUCGCACGGCGUCUAUGAACGUUCGACCAUUUCCUCGGCAAACGGAUUUAACGGAAGACAGAGCGCGGUUAAAUGUACGCGACGCGCAACAAAUACAAUUCUCGGCGGUGGCGGCGGCGGCGGCGGCGGGCGUUGCGGCAUUUCGCACGGCUUGCGAAAGAGCGCGAGAGAGCGGACUAGAUAAUAACGCGCGAACCGGAUAUAGGGAAACGGUAGCCGCAAAGCCACGGUCAGGUUCGCGUCGUUGCCUUAAUUAAGUUACACGCCGCUCGCAUUGUUCCGAGCGUAUAAACGUCACUGUAAAAGAGGGGAGAAUGAUAUUAAUUAGUUUCAAUACCCGGUUCCUCCCGUUGGAAACAACGCCGCGAGUUUCACUCGUAUUUUUCGCCAGAUAUACUCUGCCACUCGAUUCUCGUUUCUUGUUUCCGAUGCCGGGAACGAAAGAAGAGGAGAAGACGAGAUAAAAUAAAAGCGUCUUCGAGCCGUGCCGAAAGGCGGCGUCUAACCGAGGUUACGCCACCCCCGGAUCGAUUUUUCGAAUAUUUUUAACGACACAGGCUGCGGCUGGCAAACUAAGCCGGCCUCGUAAACAUAAUUUUUAAUUAUUGUUAACGCCUUUCAAUACGCUGCGUGGAAAUCGCGUAAAAUAUUAGCAGGGAACCGACUGCUGGAAAUUUCGAAAUAUUUACAAAGAUAAGAACCGCGAAUGGCGCGCAAUUAUGGACAAUCGAUUAACGGAACAUUAACGAGCCAAAUGAUUUUCGUUGAUUCUCGUUUUUAUGCCGGAAUAACGAACACUCGGCCCACCCGCGUGCGCACCCUCUGCGGUAUUACGCUUUAUCGUUUUCAUCCCUGCGAUUUCGUCGGCUCGAGUAGCACGCUCCAUCGUUGUCUCUUUUAUUGCUAGGAAUUACAUAUUUAUAAGACUUUCGCAACAUAUACUUUUGAAUUCCGUCCUUGGUUUAGCAAUACUGUAUAAAUGAAAUAGAAAUUCUGUUAAAAAAGGAGAAUAUAAUUAUUAGACAUGGUUAUAUACUUUAAGGGCGUUCAACGAAACUUUUUAAUGUCCGUUCGUUCCUGUGCAUGCAUAUCGGAACACUUGCAGAGACUGGGAUAAGCCUCGAACAAUGUCAGGAAGUUGUUAAAACCUUUGAGAAAUAUCAUUUCGUUCACAUUAAUUGAAUUAAAUUAAAAGAGGCGAAUAUUUCAUAUUACGAGGUACGGCAUAUCGUUUCUGCAGCUUCUUACGUCGCUUAUUUCUCUGUAGGAACGCACGAUUUUCACCGAUCGAUCGUUUUCUUGACGAUUAGAAGCAAUGGUCGCUUCUUGUACAGAACCGCGUCUAGAAACGAAUGUUUCAUAUUACGAGAUACAACGUAUGAUUUUUACAGCUUCUUACGUCGCUUAUUUCUCUGUAGGAACGCACGAUUUUCACCGAUCGAUCGUUUUCUUGGCAAUUAAAAGCCAUAGCCGGUUCUUGUAUAGAAGAUCGAUUUAAUGUCAAUUUUCGUUAUCGAACGAUCCCAAAAGAAAUGCGAUAAAUCCGCGGCAGAAACUACUGCGCCGUGUCCGAGUUCCUAAGGAGCAAUUAGAUCAAUUCCCGGCAAUUAAUUAGCCGGCAACGAUUCUCGAUCGACUUAAGAGGCGUUCAACGUCGACGUUUGCUAAGCAUAAACGAGGUGCGUAUAGAAACCGGAGGGACGAGGAACGUACGGGUGGCCCUAAGCCAGCUUUCUCCUCUGGUCGAAGGCUACGCAGAGGGGUUGAAAAGACGCGGAGGCGAAGAGGAGAGGGCGGAGGGCAGAGCAAUAGCCUUUACGACUCACCCAUAGUAUCAAACGAUCUAUCCAACCAUUAAGAUAGUCUCGAAACGAUUCGGUAACCUUUGGGUCCGUGGAAAGCGAUACGCUAUCAAGUCGGUAGCCCGGUCGCGGCAUUUCGUGAACGUAUAGGAAAACCGCCCUUUUGCCUCUUGUCGUCCGUCCUUUCACCCAGCGCCAUUUUGUCUUCUUCGUUGCAUGCCAGCACGCCGAUAGCAUUACUUACUGCCACUCACCACGAUAGACUCACCUCUAUCUCGCUCGCAAUUCGAUCGUAUCGUGUGAUUCUCGGUUCCCAACUCCUUCCGAUUCCUCCGAUUCCUUUCCAAUUCGUCAACGCCAUCACGAGCCAUUUAUCGACGCCCUUUCUUCAUUUCCUUCCCCGUGGUAAUUGCCUGUCGAUAUCCUGUAAACGACAUGGCCAAGAUCCUCCAGGAAUUUUCAAACGGACGAACGAGGCACGAUUUUUCCGUUCCGUUUGAGAUUGAGGGGAAUCCUAGCGUAUUCGGAGUCGGUGGAAGUUGGUGUUUAUAGAAUACGUUAGAUAACGAAAAUUACAAUUAAACACCUUGGGUGACUCUGGCCACCCAUUCGCAAAGAUUUCGUUUCCUCGGCAAACGUUGAUCAGGGGAAUCAAUGUGGCCGCUAUCAGAUCGAGACUAAUACUACAACAGAUAAUGGUGCUUCCGUGUGCCCAACUGCUGCCUCUUCGCCCCAUUACUACACCGACACGGUACCCGUGUCUGAACGAAGGAAAUAGACGUUUACCACUCAUCGCCCUUCCGAGCACCCUAUUUUACAAACCUUUUCGAAAAUACUUCCAGCAGAAUGAUAUUGAGGUCGGAACGAUCUCUCAAAGCUUGCAACUCCAUCCAUUCCUUAAUAACCUACGAUAACGAAGACCUUAGGAACCUCGUCGUUCCUCGCCGCAACAAGCUCGCGUAAAGCAAAGAAGAAAAGUAAAAAGAGAGGGACAAAUCCAUUGGGCGAUUCGAGUGGCAGUCUUGAUCAAGGGUAUUUAACGAAACGCAAGAAAACCGUGCAAUUGGAAACUAGAAACGGCCGGUUAAAAUAUAAAACGCAAUAAGGGUGCUGGGAGAAAGAGGGUGGAAUAGAAAGAGAAAGAAAGAGGGAAAGAGAGUCGGCGGUAAAAAGACGCCGGUUUAAGUGUGUGGGUGUCAUGCAUAUACAUCGAAGGGAAUAGAGAGCGUCAUGCGCCGGGGGUGGAAGUGGGGACGGGGCUUGCGCGCCAGCAUUGCCGGAAGCCCCAUGUUUGACGGGGGGUUUUCCCCCGGCAUGGGAAAGGGGGGAUGGUUGGGUGAGUUUCUAGGAUGGUUUCAGUGCAGAGAAGGGGUGGAAUGGAAUGGAAUGGAGUCUACGGUAGUGGCCGUAGGGCGGCAAGGGGGUUGCCGAGGGGCCGAGGGGUCCGGAGAUUGAUAACGCAAUUCCAAGACUGCCAUUACCCCCGUCCACCGAACUCGCUCCGGCGCUUCUAUCUUUUUUGCUUCUCCACCUCCCUCUUGCUUCGGCCCUCUUCCCUCCUGUCCUCGUGCGCGCUCCUCUUUCAGCCGGAGCCGGGCAACCGGCGAGUUUUAGAAAUGUUAACUCCAUAAAUGCCACGCCGUUCCUUUUUUCUUUUCCGAAAGAAACUGCCAGGGGAGAAAGGUGAAGGGGACCGUGGUCCGACACGCACCGCCUCGCUUAUGGCGAAUAAAAGGGAUUAGGUUACGAGAGAGUCGCGAGUGGCCGCGAGCUAACGCGAAAAACUGGUCCCCUCGAUGGUUCAAGAUGGAAAAUUUCUUGUUCUUACAUUUAACGCGAAGUAUAUGCGAAGGUUUUUAUUUGGAGGAAUUUAUUUCAUCCGAAGGAUUAACAGUAUUUGUCUGUUUCACCGUGGCACGUUGUUCGACAGUGGAAAGUCGAUUCUUUCGAAUUUGCUUGACCCGAAGGAUUAAUAGUUUUAUUUUGUUCGAUCGUGGCCAUGGUUGAUAAUGUUGUUGUAUGGAAGGAGGGACGGUUUCGUGGGUUUCGUACGGAAGUUGGAAACGUUGGGAAGCGGGGCGGUCGUUGGAAAAAGCCGGGUUGAUCUUAAUUCUAAAGACGAAAGGGGAAUACCUGCGCAAGAGGUCGAGGAGUCACGGAGAUUGAUAAUCCAAUUUCAAGACUCCCAUUAUCUCCGCCCACUAGCUCGCUCCAGACCUUCCAGAUCCUUCGAGUUUCUUUCAGGAUUCUCCUUGCUUUUGACUUUUUCCUUCUAUAAGAGUUGAUGAAUUUUAUGAAUGGUUUCCUCCAUUAUUCGCCGCGUAGAUGGCCCAAGAAAUGGAACGUUCGAUCGAAGAUUCUUCGGGAAAUUUCACUGAAACCGUCGUUACGUUAAAUGCUUUACAAAUACGACUUUAAUCGUUGACCUAAAUAAUUUUCAAUUUCAACUUUUUACGACGAUUUAUCUGCGAUAUCGACCAAAGGGGAUUAAACGUCCAAAGUAUAUUAAAACGUCCUAUCGCUAACUGCAACGCUCGGCAAUAAUAGCAAUAAAAAAUAGAAAAAAGAAGAAGAAAGAAUUAUGCAGCACGCGAAGGUGUGAUAUUUGCGUUUAAAAAUUGUAAACAAUUUUCCGACGGGAUAUCUUUCACGCGGAAUGCUAUUUUCUCCAGGUUACUGGCUGUUUGCCGUCGGCGGCCACUGUCUGCGUUAUCCCCCCGCCCCUCCAGGCCAGUAUUUCCUCGGUAGAAAAGCUCGUGUUCUCGCCACGCUUCGGACAAAUCCUGCCAGGGAAGUUUUAGCAGGCGAUACAUUUUUUGUACCGAAAGCAAAUCCGUAGACGAGGUUGGAGGUCCACCGGGUCAAAAGAACGAUCUUUCCUAAACGUACCGUUACCGCGAUAAUUGUGCGAGCGAAACUUUCUCGUAGACCUUGUUUAUUCGUCUCUCGUUCAGCUUCGCGACUGUCUUUUUGGUUGAUUAUAAGGACAGGUUUUAUUUUUAAAAUAUUUCUUUUUUAUUUAUUAAAAUUUGCAAUCGAUUCUCGCAUUGAGAAUUUUCAGUAAUUUUUUCUGGCGUGGCGCAGCGACAUGGCUAAUUAUUUAUAGUAGGUUAAUACUUGUUGAAGUGGUCAGCACUCUUAAGAAAACUCUACAUCUGGUCUUUUUGGUUUUCUCGAGCACCGAAGCCAUCGACAGCGCGUAGACAAAAGACCGUGACGAAGACAGACCAUAAACGGUAGACAGGCGCGUUGGCUUCGGAGUUUUCAGUUAUCGGGUAACACAGCUAGCGCGCGGAUCUGCACCAGCUCAAAUUGUAUUCUUACUUAUAAUUACACUUCUAACUAAAUAUAUUUCCUGCCUUACAAUUUAUCCACGAGUUUUCUCUGUCUACACGUCGAAUAACCUCAACGAUACUUAUUACAGAUACGUAUAAUUUAUAAGUAAGUAUCAUAAAUAAGUAAAAAUGACUUAAUUUGGAUAACUAAUUGAAUCUAGCGUUUGGGUCUAGCGGGUAGUGUCUCUUCAGCCUGCGGAUCUGAUCCGACGUAUCAAGUAGUCCAGUAAUUAGGGGGCUUCGAUGUUUCUUGACUCUUUUGCUACAUCUGUCGCUAUAUUUUGCUAUUUUCUCUUUGACUGUGGGUAUCCUGAGGUCGCGAUGAAUUAGUUCGUUGGCGACAUACCAGGGUGCAUUUAUAAUACAUCUUAGCGUUUUCGAUUGGAGGCGUCGAAGUAUUUCAAUGUUGGAGUUACUUGCUGUUCCCCAUAUUUGGAUUCCGUAGGUCAAGACAGGUUUUAUCACGGUCUUAUUAGAGGGUAAUUUUAUUCUGUGUGCUUAGUUUGGAGCGUCGGUCAGUUUGAAAAUAUAUCGCAAAACGAAUAGAACUUCGGGGGUUAAUUUUAUAGGUAACAUUAUUGGAAAUAUAAAAUACCUAUGAAAAUAUUAUAAAUAAAAAUUACGUACAAUUUGUAUCUAUCUAUUCUCAGUCAGAAGAAUUGGAAGCAAGCUACGGUUCAAGAUACACUUAGAAAUAUAGUCUGCCUUUAUUGAAGCAAAUAAUAAUUCGUUCGGCGAGUGCGACUCGAUAUUACGAGCGAAAAGAUCAAAUGUUGAUCGAUUAUGCGAGUUUCGUUGUCUCUUCAUACCGCUAACGAAACAAUUCUAUCGUCGAAUGUUAAAAUAUAGUCGUCAAAGGAGAAAUAUUUGCAUUAUUGUCCCACCACGUUCUACGGAUUAGGAGAAACGGGGAAAAACGCGAUUCGGGAGCAACUCGACAACAAAAAUCCGAGAAAAUGAAUAAGUGGAAAGACGGGGAAGUUUAGCUGGAACGGUGGAGCAUUGAGUAGAAAAUAGGAAAGUGUUAAUCCAACCGAGCAACUUUGCCCCCUGUAGGGAACUUGCACGCUUAUGCCGAGAGGAUUUCCAUCCAAUAAAUUUGGAGCUUUGUAUAAGCUUUCCACGCUUGAGUUUAAAUCCCGGCGUCGGUGCGGGCUUACGCUUUGCUGUGUGGAGAUACCUAUAUAUCUGUAAAGAGGGAAACCCUCUUUCCCUCUGCUUGCCGCCAGACGAUUUCAAAAAGACGUGCGAAAAUUAUUGAAUACUUUGAGAAAGCUCGCGCACGUUACAGUUCCGUGGCCGUUAGUUACCAUAAGCCUCUAAAAAUAUUAAAUCGAUACUUUGCCCGUGCUUUCUCGCGAUUUUUGUCCCACCAUUUUUCCACUAAAUGUGUCCGGAUACCGUUACGAAAUUCGAAUUACGUGUUCCAUAUUUCAUCAGUUCGGACCAACCCCGUUUCCAUUUCCUUGCGAUUAUACCGCGCUCGUUGAUACAUUUACGAAGAAUCUGACGAUGCAAAGACAGUACAGGAUGCGCUGAAUAUACAGGGUGGUUGGUAACUGCCGGUACAAGCGGAAAGGGGGUGAAUAAACUUUUUUUUUUUCUAAUUUUUCCAUCGAGACGUUAUAACGAGACGCGAUAAAGUGCAGGCGUACCGAGCGAAAAUUCAAAGUCGAUUUUCUCGAAGACAAAGCCUCGAACGAACAAUUUGUAUUGUAUAUUUCCCACUUGUUUUUCCGCCUAGAAUCGCCUCCUUUCCGCUUGUACCACCAGUUACCAACCACCCUGUAUAAAAAUAUAGAAAAUAUCCAAAGUAUGGUAUCUGUUGUAAGAUUUAGGGGAUGAAACGAAUCUGCAAGUUCUAUUCUCUACGCGCAACGUGCUGUAACGAUGAAAAGACUAAGAAAACAAAGGAAUAAAAGUUUGAACGAAACAAGCAGGAUGAGAUUUUGGUAGGGUUGCUGCAACGAAAUCCAGAGAAGGACACGGAAACGGAGAUUUCGGAGUUGUUCGAAUGGUCGUUUACAUAUUCUCAAAACGGCAUCCUCUGCUUCGUAAGGGCGCAAUAAGGGUUAAUAUGUAUCUGAGGGGACGUUACAAGAGUUGGUUUUAUCGUGUCCCUCUUGUCCUUUCUCUUCCUCUUUCUCGCCCGCAGGCUUAAGAUUAGAAACUUUUUAUAUGAACUCACGUGCCUGCUACCCCCGGUGAUGGUCACCUUCAACCCCUCGUGCGCUUUAACUAAAUUGCCCCGACGUGACAGAUGUAAAAUGUUUUAUUGCAACCGAGUACCCUCUUCUUAUUUCACUUCGUUCUCCGGAGGAUCUCGAAUCUCUCCCGGACAGAGAAUUCUCGCAUACGGAAUGAGAUAGCCUCUCUCGCCAAGGAAUUAUGCGACAGCCGCGUAUUAUGCGUUACACGAUCUUACAUCGCCAAGUUCGGUUUAUGACCGGCAGAUCACGCGAAACCUGAGCGAGCAAGGCGAAUAACUCAGCGCAAUGCAAAAUUACUUUCUUUUCCCAAACAUAUAUAUUUAAUUAUAUCGAAGAUAUCCACGUACUAUGGCCGAUUUACAAUAUGUAUAGUGAGAUUUCCGUGUCCGUGAACAUAGGUUACGAAGUUCAUCGCUGAUAGAUGAAGCUGCGGACAGCGAUCCAAGUUAUACGCGUACUUACAUAUGGUGGAAUUUACUUUGUUAAACAUCGAAGAAGAUAACUAGUUGUAGGAUAAACCGAUGAAAAUGUACUAAUAAAAGACAGACGAUAAUAAUACGAUUCGUAUAAGAGAUUCUAAGUAUAGUUAGUUUUAUACAAUAUACUUGCAAGAUGAAAUAAAUUCCUAUUGUACCCAUGAAAAUAUAAAUUUGCAUAAACAUCCACAGCCAGAGAGUAACGUGACAUCUGUCUAGAAACAACAUUGCCUUUCGAGAAUCCUUAAUCGUUGCCUCAGACUGUCACCGGGUACGUGAAAUUUACCGUAUCACCGAAGGAAAGUACUUAUCCGAGAUAUCACUUUCUAUUCGAAACGCGGAGAUUCAUUGGAUAUGAAAGGCAUUUCGAACUCUAUUCAAACUUGAGGCCAUUCGAUGGGUAGUUCGUAUUAGGACUGCGCGAAUAUCGUCCCUUACGAAGGUACAGACGCCGAGACGUUGAAGAAAGGUUGCGAUCGAAGGCCGUAAGAUCAGCGAACGUAUGUAAACAAGGGAUCGAAUAUAGUCGGGAAACAGAGCGCGAGUAGCUGCGGCGAAUUCCCAUGCGGGAGUAAGAUAUUGGUUUUCAUCCGGCUCGUUUCAGUGCUCGUAACGUUUGAUAAAAAUGCGUGUUACGCGUUCCAGACGAGACCCGGCUCGGACCGAAAGGCCGUCCAGGGAAUCGUACGCGAAGAGAUCACGAGAAUUCGCCCUCUGACUGCUCCCUCUUCAGGUAUUUGCGCGUAAGAGGGUGACGGCUCAGGUCUAGCCCUAUAAAUACCAAUACGCGAUGAUAUCGCUUUCAUAGGCAGAUUUUUAGGACACCGCGCGAAGCAACUGCUCGCCCUUCCUUAUAUUUAGGUGUUGUUAUCGUCAGAGAUUAUCGCCAAAGAUACGGUUUAUUCUUCGCUGAUAUUUCAGAAAACGUUGCGUACUUGUCCGAGAAUUCGUGGGUUCUUUUCUUCUUAUUUACGAGUACUUUGCAAUUUUGAGUAAGUUUCUCUGGCGUGACGCAGUGACAUGGUUAAUUAUUUAUAACAAGUUAAUACAGUUAUUAUACACUUAUAAGUAAGCGUAAUUUACAAAUAAGUAUGAUUUAUAAAUAAUAAUAGUAGAAAUACGUAGA